AAAAAAAAAAUUAUUCUACAAUAAAAUUGGAAGGAUAGAGAGAAGAUUAGCAUGUCCCUCGCGCAGAAAUAACACGCAGAAUCGUGAAACGUAUCAAAAUUUA